UGAUGACAAAUCUCCGGAAUCUCUGUAUCUCUUUGAUGAUAUACUUGAACCUUUUGGCUGAUGACUGCCUGAAUUUCU